AUUACUACUUUUAAAAAAAUCACGGGACGGGUGAAGAAAUUACAGAACGGGUUUUAUUUUGGAAUUGGGUUAUAUGGUGGAUGUAUUUGAAUCAAUAUUUAUAAAAUUUUAAAAUAUUAUUAAUAUGCUGUUUUAAUAGGGGUUAAAAG
rnacentral:sRNA from 1 species